GAACCGGUAGCUCAGUUGGUAGAGCAACUGCCUUUUAAGCCGUGGGUCGAGGGUUCGAGUCCCUCCCGGUUCACAA
rnacentral:tRNA from 1 species